rnacentral:tRNA from 1 species
GCUAAAAAAGCUUUGUAUAGCGUCAGUCUUGUAAAUUGAAGAUAAGAGUUAAUUCUUUUUAGUU